CAGAAGCCAGUCUUCGGCGCUUUGGGAGAUGAUUGUAUCCCAGGCCCUCCUUGACAAGUUUGUCUCCCGGGAUACUGACCCGUCCUAGCCUGCAUUUAACUAUGCUUUACAGAACUGCUACUGUCGUUUUUUGUUUUUAAGCCUUGGUCAUGCUACGUAAAUUUAGUCUGUCCUUGAGCUCGUAGCUGACCUGGUCUUUAACACUGCGCCUCUGCUGCGUCUGCCUUACCAGUGCUGGGCUGAGAGUGCUGCACCACCGAGCCUGGCUCCUCAAACCUCUCACUGGACUCGAUGGACUCUUCCUGUUUAGGACCUGCUGGCAGGAUCCUGACGUUGCAGCUCGCGACAAGUGGCGCCCGACCAGGGACCUGAAAGUUGAUGAGGAUACGUAAUCCCGGACCCAGGUCGAAGGCAGGGACGGUGCUCCGGAGGACUGACCGCUGCGCCUGAUCCUUGCAGUAAGUCUACCAUUCACUUCGUGAAGAAAAAGUGAAAAGAAAGUAAGAAGAAAUGAAAAGAAGGUAAGAAAAAGUGAAAAGAAAGUAAGAAAAAGUGAAAAGAAGGUAGAGAGUGUCAAGUCCAUUGGGAAG
rnacentral:lncRNA from 1 species